GGGGAGGUUCCAGAGUGGUCAAAUGGGGCAGACUGUAAAUCUGUUGGCUAUGCCUUCGAAGGUCCGAAUCCUUCUCUCCCCA
rnacentral:tRNA from 1 species